rnacentral:lncRNA from 1 species
GAGGCGCAUGCGCGCCUGGCCGUGACGCGCCGGUCUGGCUGCCCAGAGCGCGGGGCUCAGGAGCGGCCGGUAGCGCGACGCUCGCGCGCAGCAGGGACCGCGCCGGCCGGGCGUGAGCACCGAGGGCCGACCACCGCCUCUGCCCUGCGCCAGGCCGUGACCGGGCCAGAGCCAUGGACUGCAGCCGGGCGCGGGCGCUCGUGCACCGCUUCGUGCUGCACAAGGGGGACACCUUUCCCACCGCUGUGGGUCACACCCUGGGGCCAGGAGGCCACGAGCAUGGAUGGAGCAGCGGCGGCCCCUGCCACCUUCCACUCCCCUGGCUUGGCGUGUCGCCCCUCCUGAGAGGCCAGUCCUGCAGCUGCGCUCUGGUGGCCCUGCUGCUCUUCCUGCUGCUCUUCCUGCUGCCCACCUCCCUUCCUCCCGCCUGCCGAGCCUCUGCCCCGCCCCAGGGGCCCUCCCUCCCUCCCUCCCUCUCC